GCGAGAGUGGCGGAACGGCAGACGCGGCGGACUUAAAAUCCGCUCCCCGUUAGGGGGUCCGGGUUCGAAUCCCGGCUCUCGCACCA
rnacentral:tRNA from 1 species